GUCUACGGCCAUACCACCCUGAAGGCGCCCGAUCUCGUCUGAUCUCGGAAGCUAAGCAGGGUCGGGCCUGGUUAGUACUUGGAUGGAAGAAAUUGUCUUCCAGAUA
rnacentral:rRNA from 1 species